AUGCAUGUCUAAGUAUAAGCACUUGUACUGUGAAACUGCGAAUGGCUCAUUAAAUCAGUUAUCGUUUAUUUGAUUGUACUUUACUACAUGGAUACCUGUGGUAAUUCUAGAGCUAAUACAUGCGAAAAAUCCCGACUUCUGGAAGGGAUGUAUUUAUUAGAUUAAAAACCAAUGCGAGUCUUCGGACUCGUUUUCUUGGUGAUUCAUGAUAACUUUUCGAAUCGCAUGGCCUAGCGCCGGCGAUAUUUCAUUCAAAUUUCUGCCCUAUCAACUGUCGAUGGUAAGGUAGUGGCUUACCAUGGUUAUAACGGGUGACGGAGAAUUAGGGUUCGAUUCCGGAGAGGGAGCCUGAGAAACGGCUACCACA
rnacentral:rRNA from 1 species